rnacentral:rRNA from 1 species
CCCUUAGAUGUUCUGGGCUGCACGCGCGCUACACUGAUGCAUCCAACAAGUUUUCUCCCUUGUUCGGUAGGACUGGGUAAUCUUUUGAGUAUGCAUCGUGAUAGGGAUAGAUUAUUGAAAUUAUUAAUCUUGAACGAGGAAUUCCUAGUAAACGCAGAUCAUCAAUCUGCAUUGAUUACGUCCCUGCCCUUUGUACACACCGCCCGUCGCACCUACCGAUUGGAUGGUCCGGUGAAGCCUCGGGAUUGUGGUUCUUGCCGCUUUAUUGUGGCGUGACCGCGAGAACUUGUCUAAACCUUAUCAUCUAGAGGAAGGUGAAGUCGUAACA